AUAAUGAUACUUUUGAGUAGCCACAGACUCAAUCAACGGGCUCAACUCUGUGAGAACCACAGAGAGGUGAAAUUCCUAUGG
ncrna:unclassified sequences pemK RNA